CAGCCAGGGCGGGAAUCGAACCCACAACCUUCUGCUUACCGGGAAGGUGCCAUGUCCACUAGGCUACCCUGGAC
rnacentral:tRNA from 1 species